UCUGUCAAUGAUGAAAAAUGUCACCGUUUUUAUUGAGGAAUCAUUCUAUGAUGAUAUUAUGUUGAUAUCUUCAUGCACUACCAACUGAGACGGA